UAAUGCUGUGUCAAGUUCCAGAGAAGAGUUUCUUCUGUUCCAAGUUACUAAUCAGGCUAAAACAAAAAGAGUUAAAAGAAGAGGCCAGGAGAAAAGGAGCGUCCCACUGCUGAUGGGCUAAGAGGAUUCAGCACAGAGAAGUCAACCAGAAAGAGCCUCACCAUGCCCACAGCUCCUUUGAUACCUGUGUGGAGAAGUACUGAGUGAAGGGCAGAAAACAAGAGAACAGAAAUGCCCUGUGCUUGGAGAACUUCUGACCUACAGCUACUACUGAUUUUGAGUGUCUUCUUAGUGGCUGAGUGCAUAAGCACAGAAGUAGAUGAUUCUGUUACAGUAAGCAGCUCAACGCAGAACAUGGGCAAGGAUAAUUGCAGUUUGGCUUCAUCUAUGGACAAGAAGCGGAACCAUUUAAAACUUCCUGCAGAAGGUAAU